UACAGAGGGUGCGAGCGUUGUUCGGAAUUAUUGGGCGUAAAGGGCGCGUAGGCGGUGCGGUAAGUCACCUGUGAAAUCUCCUGGCUCAACUGGGAGCUUGCAGGCGAAACUGCCGUGCUGGAGUGUGGGAGAGGUGCGUGGAAUUCCUGGUGUAGCGGUGAAAAUGCGUAGAUAUCAGGAGGAACACCUGUGGCGAAAGCGGCGCACUGGACCACAACUGACGCUGAGGCGCGAAAGGCUAGGGGAGCAAACAGG
rnacentral:rRNA from 1 species